CCUAGACUCAACCCCACUGGCAGGAUUGUGGAGACCAUCAACAGACCCAGCACCCCCUCUCCUGGGACUGGGGGAAAGAGGAAAAGAGGUUUUUGUUUGUUUUUGUUUUAGAGAAGGGGUCUGGCUGUGUUGCCCAGGCUGGUCUGGAACUCAUGGGCUCAAGUGAUCCUCCUGCCUUGGCCUCCCAAAGAGUUGGGAUUACAGGUGGCUGUGGUGGUGGCAGUGAAGCCUGUCAGGUCACAGAGCAGCUCCUCACCAGCCCAUCGCAUUCUGUCUCCGGAGAGGUCCCAUCACAGGCGAUGGGGCAGAGAGGACUGAGUCGCAGCCCAGAUCUCAGUGUCUAGGACUGGACUUGGUUUGUCAAAAGUGUAGUCUCCCAUCCCUGCUGGCAUUGGCAGGCUGCAGUGCAGAGUGCCUAGGGCUCAUCAGGAUUUGCCAACAGAGGCUUGUCCAAGAAUCAUCCAGCCAGCUCCACGUGAGGUUACAUUGCCAUCACCGGACUCUGAUGGAGGAUUCAGACAGCCCACUCCAUGCCUCCAGCACCACACCCUGCAGCUGGCAGAACAGUGGCCCCCAAGACAUCCUCAUCCGAAUCCUCAGAGCCUGUGAAGGGCAAAAGGAGCCCUGCACAUGUGAUUAAGGGUCUUGACAUGGCAAGAGGAUCCUGGACCAUGUGGGUGGCCCCAGAUAAUCACAAGGGUGUUUCUAAGAGGGAGGUAGGAGGAUCAGAGAGGAGAUGCAAUGAUAGAGGAAGAGGUUGGAGGGAUGCGAUUGGAGAUGGAGGCAGGGCCACAAGCCAAGGACUGUGGUGGCCUCAGAAGCUGGAAGAGGCGAGGAAUAGAUCCUCCCUUGGAGCCUCCAGAAGGACCCAGCCCUGCCCACAUCUUGAUUUUAGCUCAUAAGACCCAUUUCAAACUUCCAACCUCUGGGACGGUAAGAGGACAAAUUUGCAUUGUUUUAAGCCAUGAAGUUUGCAGUAGUUUGUUACAGCUGCAACAGGAAGUGAAUCCACCCACCUAAGCUCUUCUGCAGGUGUGAUCCCUGUCCCACAGGAGUCACUGCUGUCGCCUGGCAGGUU
rnacentral:lncRNA from 1 species